UUUAUAAAAUCAUUUUAUAAAAUCACAAUUUCUCCUAAAAUAUAUCAAUUUACCAUUUAAACCCAUUUUCUAUAAAAUCACACAAUUGUAUAAAACUACUCUAGAUAAUUAAGACGAUAAUAAGUUUACUCACAGUUCUAGGAGUCGAUGUACUCCUAAUCCCAGUCUUCAAGCACAAUCUCUAUACUUUUACCAAUGUAAUUUGCUCACCACCUAUCCACAAUGUACAAUACAUAAUUCACCACAUUAAUGCUUGACCAUUAUAAAUCAAUUCAGGCUCGGUGUAUAUGCAUAAUAUGAUAUGCAACUUAUCCGACUACUACUUAAAUGCGGUGCUGACCUAAUUUGGCCUAUUACCCGAUUAAAUGACAAUUAUGUCCGACUUGGCUCCAAAUUGCUCCAUUUCAUUUCUAAUAUCUCAAUUCACCAAACUCAAAUCAAAUAACCUAAAAUUUGGCAAAACUAUCUUCACUUUUCUUCUUAAAAUUUUUGGCCAAUAAUGGUGCAUUAACAUCGUGAUUUUUCCUACUACUUUUUCACACCAUAAUUCAUCAUUUUUUAACCAAUUCUCCUAGAAUAAAAAUCAAAUUCAUCCUCACGUAACACAUGGUAAAUUCGGCCAUUGAUGGUUGUUGGAGAAAAUGAAUUCUUUUCUUGUUGUUUUGUUUCUAAAUAUGCUAAACUAACGAAAAACACUAACAUAUCUUAAAAUCAUAUCAAUCCAACAUCUUUCUCUCUCCUUACCCAUUUUGACCAGCCAUAAAUUCAUCAUGAAAACAUGUAAUUUAAGCAUGGAAAAUAAGGAGAAAUGCUUAAGGAAAAUAGAUUUCAAGCUUAAGUUGAAAAAUCCUACCUUUUUCACUUGUUUUCCUUGAUUUUCCACACUUUUUCUCUUGAAAUUCUUCACCUAGGGUUUGUUCUUNNN
rnacentral:lncRNA from 1 species